AUUGAACGCUGGCGGCAGGCCUAACACAUGCAAGUCGAGCGGAUGAAGGGAGCUUGCUCCAGGAUUCAGCGGCGGACGGGUGAGUAAUGCCUAGGAAUCUGCCUGGUAGUGGGGGAUAACGUCCGGAAACGGGCGCUAAUACCGCAUACGUCCUGAGGGAGAAAGUGGGGGAGCUUCGGACCUCACGCUCUCAGAUGAGCCUAGGUCGGAUUAGUUAGUUGGUUGGGUAAAGGCCUACCAAGGCGACGAUCCGUAACUGGACUGAGAGGAUGAUCAGUCACACUGGAACUGAGACACGGUCCAGACUACUACGGGAGGCAGCAGUGGGGAAUAUUGGACAAUGGGCGAGAGCCUGAUACAGCCAUGCCGCGUGUGUGAAGAAGGUCUUCGGAUUGUAAAGCACUUUAAGUUGGGAGGAAGGGCAGUAAGUUGAUACCUUGCUGUUUUGACGUUACCAACAGAAUAAGCACCGGCUAACUUCGUG
rnacentral:rRNA from 1 species